rnacentral:rRNA from 1 species
GACGAACGCUGGCGGCGUGCUUAACACAUGCAAGUCGAACGGAAAGGCCCUGCUUUUGUGGGGUGCUCGAGUGGCGAACGGGUGAGUAACACGUGAGUAACCUGCCCUUGACUUUGGGAUAACUUCAGGAAACUGGGGCUAAUACCGGAUAGGAGCUCCUGCUGCAUGGUGGGGGUUGGAAAGUUUCGGCGGUUGGGGAUGGACUCGCGGCUUAUCAGCUUGUUGGUGGGGUAGUGGCUUACCAAGGCUUUGACGGGUAGCCGGCCUGAGAGGGUGACCGGCCACAUUGGGACUGAGAUACGGCCCAGACUCCUACGGGAGGCAGCAGUGGGGAAUAUUGCACAAUGGGCGGAAGCCUGAUGCAGCAACGCCGCGUGCGGGAUGACGGCCUUCGGGUUGUAAACCGCUUUCGCCUGUGACGAAGCGUGAGUGACGGUAAUGGGUAAAGAAGCACCGGCUAACUACGUGCCAGCAGCCGCGGUGAUACGUAGGGUGCGAGCGUUGUCCGGAUUUAUUGGGCGUAAAGGGCUCGUAGGUGGUUGAUCGCGUCGGAAGUGUAAUCUUGGGGCUUAACCCUGAGCGUGCUUUCGAUACGGGUUGACUUGAGGAAGGUAGGGGAGAAUGGAAUUCCUGGUGGAGCGGUGGAAUGCGCAGAUAUCAGGAGGAACACCAGUGGCGAAGGCGGUUCUCUGGGCCUUUCCUGACGCUGAGGAGCGAAGGCGUGGGGAGCGAACAGGCUUAGAUACCCUGGUAGUCCACGCUGUAAACGGUGGGUACUAGGUGUGGGGUCCAUUCCACGGGUUCCGUGCCGUAGCUAACGCUUUAAGUACCCCGCCUGGGGAGUACGGCCGCAAGGCUAAAACUCAAAGGAAUUGACGGGGCCCCGCACAAGCGGCGGAGCAUGCGGAUUAAUUCGAUGCAACGCGUAGAACCUUACCUGGGUUUGACAUGGAUCGGGAGUGCUCAGAGAUGGGUGUGCCUCUUUUGGGGUCGGUUCACAGGUGGUGCAUGGCUGUCGUCAGCUCGUGUCGUGAGAUGUUGGGUUAAGUCCCGCAACGAGCGCAACCCUUGUUCACUGUUGCCAGCACGUUAUGGUGGGGACUCAGUGGAGACCGCCGGGGUCAACUCGGAGGAAGGUGGGGAUGACGUCAAGUCAUCAUGCCCCUUAUGUCCAGGGCUUCACGCAUGCUACAAUGGCUGGUACAGAGAGUGGCGAGCCUGUGAGGGUGAGCGAAUCUCGGAAAGCCGGUCUCAGUUCGGAUUGGGGUCUGCAACUCGACCUCAUGAAGUCGGAGUCGCUAGUAAUCGCAGAUCGGCAACGCUGCGGUGAAUAAGUUCCCGGG